GCGCAUCCUUAAUAAACCCCCCGGUUGCAUUUUGUGGUCUCUGGGACAAGAAAGGGUGCAAAAUCAAUCUUAGAAUUAUCCAAAGCUGAGAGUUUUGUCAGUAGCUCUUGGUUAUUUCACCUCUAAGACAAAA
rnacentral:snoRNA from 1 species